GUCGAUGCCUACAAGGAAUAUCAAGGAGGUAAGGAGACCUGGGCAUGAUGCAGGUCCAAGGAGAAGCAGAGACAGCCCCUGGGUUGUAAGAUGCUCCACCCAGAAGGAGAAGCCAAGCAUUCCUACCUGGAUAUAGUCUGAGAUUUAGAACAACUGACGCAGCCUUUUCCCACUGGAUUCCCAGAGGAGCAGCUUGCUUCUCCACUGGAUGUUCAGAGGAAGACCAGGCCCACCUACACUACCACCAGGCCUUCAGAGGAAGACUACACCCUUCUACAGGACCACUGCUUCAACAGAAUGCCCUCCGUCACUCCAGGAAGACUGCAGCCAACAUUUAAUUGGACACUUAGCAAUACCCUGACCAACAGGGUGUCAGGGUGUAUUCUGACUCUGAGAGUGGUUUGUUUUCUGAGUUGUUUGGGUUUUUUUGUACUAUUGCGUUUAUGCUUUUUAAUUUUCCUAGUAAAGAACUGUUAUUCCUACAUCUCUUCCUAUAUCAGUUCCCAUAUCUUUGCCUGAGAGCCCCUUAAUUUCAAAAUUAUAAUAACUCAGAGGGAGGAGGUUUGCAUCUUCCGUUUCAAGGCAGGAGCCUAGACACUAGGGUAGCACAGCUGCACCAUCAGAGCUUGUGUGAGCAUAUCCAUGGAAACCUGAAGAAGAGAUAAAUGGGAGUACGGAGUCUGGAGCACUGGACAUCCUUGUUGACCUGGUUAAAGAACUCAUAAUAUGAAUAUUUGUUCUAAUUUUCUUGAACUACUUCACUUCAAGUAGCACCAGCUGUGCAUCUUUCCCAUCUGUUAUUUCUUUAAUUGCUAUCACGUGUCUUUCUUCUUUUUUUCCACAC